rnacentral:lncRNA from 1 species
AGAAGCUGCUGCACAAUCCAGCCACUCUUUCCCGGCCAUCGUACUGGGGAGCCACAUAUCACAGAUGGCACAUCAACAAAAUAAUGGAGCCUUUAUCAGCCUGCAUCCUUGAGUUCCUGGAAGUGGAGCUGCUAUCCAGUACCCCAAAUGUGGUGCAUCAUAUGUCCAGAUUAAAUGAUUGUUAUGUUCCUUGACCAUUCCCCGACCAUGAUUUACCCAAGCACCUAAAAAGAUUCAUAAAGUGAAUACUGGGUCAAAGUUUAUGAAGAUUUUGAAGACUUUGACACAUACAUUUCAAAAAUUGUUACCGAGUGCCAACCUUCAAGCCAAAGAAAGCCUGAAACCUAAAAACUGAACUGCCAGUUCUGGACAGAGUCCACGACCAGAGUGAGAACUUCUAUCUUUGUCUUACCCUCUGUCUCUUGAUUGGUUCCUUUUGGAUGAUGCCUUUUAACCAACUGAACGGUUCUUUUUCCAAGAAGACCCAUGGACUAUUCUGCAUGCACUCCCCCAUUCUAAGCCCACAAAAACUCCAGACUCAGCCUCACAGAUGGCUACCCUGCUUUCAGGGUCCCCUCUCCACCGAGAGCCUUCCUUUUGUUGCUCAAUAAAAUUCUUCUCUGCCCU